UCCNCAACUGCUUCUCCUCUUGAUGCUUGC
rnacentral:piRNA from 1 species